AUCCACAGCCAUAGCACCCUGAAUGCUCCUGAUCUUGUCUGAUCUUGGAGGCUAAACAGGGUCAAGCCUGGUUAGUACUUGCAAGGGAAAACAUUUUAAAAGAAAUAACCAAAUGCUAAGGGAA
rnacentral:rRNA from 1 species